AUUAAAAAAAUUUCUUAUUAGGUCAGGACUCUAUUAAAAUAGUCCAAAUGAAAAAGCCUACUGACCGACGGUCGGUGGUUCUCCGAGAUCGUGUCUCAUCUUUAAAUUAAAAAAACAAUUUUAAAAUAAUAUUUCUUACUGAUUUAAAAAAAGAAAAAAAAUUAUCGGGAGCUAGAUAGAGACCAGAGAGUAUAGGAGGACACGUUCAUUAAAUUAGGAUAUUUAGUGGAGAGUCGUAGUAGUUCUGUAGUUUUAAUGAGGAGCACGUAUGGCACGUGACGAUGUUUGCAUCGGAAGAAGCGACUACAAAAAUCCAACGGCCGCCCAUGAACAACUGAGGUCUUGUCCCUUCCCUCUCAUUUCACUCGUUACUUUAUUAUCUCAACAGACCGUACCCCCAUACUAAAGUCGGCUUUACCAACCUCCACUUUCAUUCAAUAGCAUGAUAAUUUUUUUACCCUCCUCCAUUUCUCAUCACGAACUCACGUGACCUUCCUUCAAGUAAAUGUUGCACCAUCGUCAUUAUGUUGGAUGACCAUUUACAUGCAUGAUGAUGAUACACAUGCGUACACAUGUUGACUAAUAAUAGGAGUGGAGGGAGGAGGGCAUGUGCGUUACGCAAGUGAAGACGAGUGGGCCACAGUAGACCGCAGAGUGGGGGGAUGGCUUCGGUUUCCCGCCAUAGGUGCUGACGUGGUACCCACCGCCUGACCUUUCCCGCCAAUGCACCCAACUCCUUGGUCUUACUCCGAAACGGAGCCCGACACGUGUCCCAAAAGUUGACAACUGUCCGCCAACUGUUGGGGUAUUGAUGAUAAUUUUGGGGCCCCGCUGAUGAUGUGUGUCAGUCGUUGCGCGGAAACCGCCAGCAUUGUAGUAGCUUCCUUUUCUUUCCUUUUCUUCCUUUCUUUCUAUUUUUAGAAUUUUCCCAAUUUUCUUUCUUCUAUCUUUUAAGUCAGGGUUUAUCUUUUAAGUAGGGGUGGCAUUAUUUAGUUUGGCUUGGAGCUGCUCACAGGC
rnacentral:lncRNA from 1 species